GAUGAACGCUAGCGAUAGGCUUAACACAUGCAAGUCGAGGGGCAGCAUGGUCUUAGCUUGCUAAGACUGAUGGCGACCGGCGCACGGGUGCGUAACGCGUAUGCAACUUGCCUCACAGAGGGGGAUAACCCGUCGAAAGACGGACUAAUACCGCGUACACUCCAUCUUGGGCAUCCAAGGUAGAGGAAAUGAAAUUCGCUGUGAGAUAGGCAUGCGUCCCAUUAGCUAGUUGGUGAGGUAACGGCUCACCAAGGCGACGAUGGGUAGGGGAACUGAGAGGUUGAACCCCCACACUGGUACUGAGACACGGACCAGACUCCUACGGGAGGCAGCAGUGAGGAAUAUUGGUCAAUGGGCGAGAGCCUGAACCAGCCAAGUCGCGUGAAGGAUGACUGUCUUAUGGAUUGUAAUCUUCUUUUAUACGGGAAUAACAAGAGUCACGUGUGACUCCCUGCAUGUACCGUAUGAAUAAGCAUCGGCUAACUCCGUG
rnacentral:rRNA from 1 species